rnacentral:rRNA from 1 species
CAUGUGGUUUAAUUCGAAGCAACGCGAAGAACCUUACCUAGACUUGACAUCUCCUGAAUUACUCUUAAUCGAGGAAGUCCCUUCGGGGACAGGAAGACAGGUGGUGCAUGGUUGUCGUCAGCUCGUGGCGUGAGAUGUUGGGUUAAGUCCCGCAACGAGCGCAACCCUUAUUGUUAGUUGCUACUAUUAAGUUAAGCACUCUAACGAGACUGCCGCGGUUAACGUGGAGGAAGGUGGGGAUGACGUCAAAUCAUCAUGCCCCUUAUGUCUAGGGCUACACACGUGCUACAAUGGCUGGUACAACGAGCAGCAAACCCGCGAGGGGGAGCAAAACUUGAAAGCCAGUCCCAGUUCGGAUUGUAGGCUGAAACUCGCCUACAUGAAGUUGGAGUUGCUAGUAAUCGCGAAUCAGCAUGUCGCGGUGAAUACGUUCCCGGGUCUUGUACACACCGCCCGUCACACCAUGAGAGCCGGUAACACCCGAAGCCCGUGAGGUAACCGUAAGGAGCCAGCGGUCGAAGGUGGGAUUGGUGAUUGGGGUGAAGU